CGUCCCUCAAGCGCGAGCUUGGUGUUGGGGACCGCCCCUGAGAUACGGCGGCGGCCCUUGAAUCCAUCGGCGGUGCCGGUGCGGCCUGGAGCGCAGCAGCGAUGCGGCUCCGAAAGGCGGCGCCAGCCCAGCCGGACGACCCCACGAAACUCUCUGAA
rnacentral:misc_RNA from 1 species